rnacentral:rRNA from 1 species
UACGUAGGGUGCGAGCGUUGUCCGGAAUUACUGGGCGUAAAGAGCUCGUAGGUGGUUUGUCGCGUUGUUCGUGAAAACUCACAACUCAAUUGUGGGCGUGCGGGCGAUACGGGCAGACUGGAGUACUGCAGGGGAGACUGGAAUUCCUGGUGUAGCGGUGGAAUGCGCAGAUAUCAGGAGGAACACCGGUGGCGAAGGCGGGUCUCGUGGGCAGUGAACUGACGCUGGAGGAGCGAAAGCGUGGGAGCGAACAGGA